CUCCGGCGGCUAAAUUUAUACAAGAGUAACGAUCAAUCACGCAAUAAAUUAAAAUAAAAAAGAACACAGCAGGCAAGAACAGAUCUAAUGGUUAAAAUAUGGAACCAUAAUUAUUGGUUAAUUGGGGAUAAAAUGAAGCAAACCUGAAAUUCAUAGAAUUUGAUGAGGCGAGGCUUGCCUUGAUCGUUCAUCACGAUCACUCCUCGUAUCAUUUUCGUGACCAAUUUUGUGCAGCUUAUUGUGCGACUUCACUGCUGUUUUGUGUAUGAAAUGGAUCAAGACAAAGUCGUGUUUACAGAGUGGUGAUUUACAUAUGAAUUUUUGUUUCUUAAAAUCAUAGUGAGAAAGCAAAACCCCAAUUCAGGUGAAUAAUUGUACUACUAUAUUUAUAAGCAAAGUUGUACUCAUUCGCUAUUCGGUCUCUCGAAAUUUAAAAACCAC
rnacentral:lncRNA from 1 species